rnacentral:lncRNA from 1 species
GUGACUUUCCUGCUAGCAGCCUCCAGAGUUUGCAGGAAUCCUCGGAUUGUGGCACACACCUGGAGCUGCUGGCCCAGUGUUAUCUGCCAAGUGCCAGGGGAGUCUGAUUUCAAUGUUCUGAAGGAUUCCAACCCUAAGGAGGCCUCACUCUGCACGGAGAUGACCCGGGCAGGGGCCAGCCAGCUCAGACCACCUUGUGAUGUUCAUUUCCCUGUCCUGUGUCACCACCCGAGAUGCUGACCCAGAAUCAUCACUCCUGAAGACAGGCCGGGUGCUCCCUCACGUGACCCUCUGUCCCUGGGCCGUCUGCCCUCACAGAAGGCCUCUGCCAGCUCCCUGGGCACUUUGAACUUGAGCACGAAGCAGCUAGGUCUUUGCUUGCCUCCCUCAUCAGACUGGGAGGGACUUUGCCUUCCCCACAUUUGUGGCUGUACCUGGUCGGCUCACAGGAAGGUCGCACGCAGACCAGACCUGCUUCUGCCUGGGAUUAAGCAUCGGUCCUGAACCCAGGCCGACCAGGGCUGCAGCUGCAAACAUCCAGGCCGGUCACACGGAGGCCCUGAAGUGUGGGCACAGGAACUGGGCCUUCAUCCUAUGGAUGUGGGGAACCUGGAUAGCCACUGAGCAGGGCAGUGACUGGCGCAAACACCGGGGACUUUCUAUCCACUGUCCUUGUCAGCCCAGAGCCUGGAGGAAGGAGCAGGGGACAGCAUCCUGAGAUUUGAUCUCCACAGAUCGCAGAACACUGCUACCAACAUGGCCAAAGCUGAGGGUAGCCUCGCCCUAACCAAGGACACUGUUUGAGUGGAAAUGACAGUGCCCUGUGCGGCACACAGACCCUGUCUCUUCUGAGUAUUUCUGUGAUGAGCGCCUGGCGGCAAGUCCAAAUGACAAUUCAGUAACAGGUGCGCUGCUGGUGGGACGAUUUAACCAGUGACAUAGGGUGGGAUUGAAAUUCUGAGCUCUUUAGCGUCUCCCCCAAAAUUAUUAGAUUCAGAAAACUGCAAGCAAAACAAAACAGACGGAACAACUAUAGAAAAAAGCCAACUUGUUCAGCGCUCAGCAUCUGCUUGCGGAACCCAACCGGUGGACACAUGACCAUCGGCUGCUCACGUUGUGAGUCGCACUCAGCUUCCCUUGCUCCAUGCCCUGGAAAAGCACGCAGGAGCAACCUGAGCCUGGACUCCCCUCUGGCCCCUGAAGAGCCCAGCUGUCCUUCUCUGGGAAACCUCCCAGGGCUUGCAGGUCAGCUGAAAGUCACCCCGGGCCUCGCCAAGGCCUCUGUGUCCCCUCUGUCCCUGCACAGGGGGUCUGGCUUCCUUCUCUGCUCCUCUCUAGUCCCCCCAUAGAAUCACCUGAGGCUUGGGUCUGAAAUUCUGCACUGGAGAACCGACCCUUCCUGCUGCUCUGGGGAGAAAGUUAACCUCAGGAUGCUCUGGGAAAUGACCGAACCAAGGGGCCCAAAGGCUGGCUGCCCACGGGGCCUCAGUGCUUGCCAGGAUGUGACCCUCAGACUGAGAAUGUGAAGCCAGCCCUGGUCUCCCAGUCAGCCGCUCCUGUCCUCUUUGGGCUGGAGCCCAGGAGUCCAAGGGGAGGGGCUGCCUGGCAGGAUCCGAGGCCCAGUUGGAGCUGUCUGGCCUGGGGGCUCCCCGAGGACAGGGUGGGGCAUCCUCUUUGGUCUAGAAGGUAGGCUGCUCCUCCCCACCUGCUGUGUUCCAAGUUGGAGCUCAGAUCCUCACUGCAGGGUGACCUUGGCCCAUUGCCUCUCCUCCCUGAGCCUUCGUGUUUGCCCUUGGAGGGCCACAGUGAAAGUCCCACUUCCUGACUGACUUCCCAACCCUGCCUGCCCUGCCCUGUCCGGCCUCACCUGCUUACCCCACCACCCCAAGUUCUGUCCCUGGACACACCACAUCUGCUUGGCAGCCCGCAGGCCUGGGUACUGCUCUUUGGACUUUCCCCUCCAGAGCUCCACUUCCAUUCUACCACUUUGCAUUGCUUUUUUUCUGCAAGGUGUCUCCUCCUCACUUCUGUCUCUUUUUAAGUUUAUCUUGGGCACCUCCUCCACCAGGAAGGCCUCCCUGAUCUUCCCUCUGUGGAAUGUGCUUCCUGAUGACCCCAUGUAUUAUAUUUGUUUGCUGGUCGUCUCCCUCCCUAGGCUGGAAGCUGCUUGGGAAUCUCAUGAGAUUCUUCAUAACAGUAACAGCAGGAAUGAUGGGAUAAAAAAAAAAUCAUUGGGCCUUUAUAAUAACAACUGAAUCCAAAACAGGUCACCUGUGGAUGCUCAAAUGAGUGGGUAAAAGUUUGAGCAGCAAGAUAUUUAAAAAGCCUCAAAGUACCUCAAGAACAAAAUGAAACAAGGUAACUUUUCAGUAGAGUCUGACAGACCUGGUCUUUACCAAGUGAUCCUAAGAAUGGGACACAUCUCAGGUCCUCCUGAUAGGACCCCCGGGAAGACAUGACCCCCGCUGUGGUCAUUGGCCUGAACAGGGAGCUUUCAUCAUGAUGGACAUUCUACAAAUUCACCAGUCUGUGCUCCUCAAACUGUGCUGCCCUGAAAUGAACUCUUUCCAGAAACAGGAGCCAGGCCUGCUGGGAGGUCAGAGUGGAGAGGGGGACCAGGGCCCUGUGUCACAGAGUCGGCAGCUGCUGUCACCUGCACCACAGCCCUGGUGUGCAACAUGUCUCGGCUCUACUCUCUGAGUCCUGCAGGUCAGUGUGAGAACUAGUACUCCAGGGCUCCUUCCUCCCAAAGUACUAGGGAAGAGCCCGGCGCUUCGGUUUUCCAGCUCCUGGAGGCCUCCGAGUCCCUUGGCUGGCGACCCCGUCCUCCUGCACGGCAUCUCUGGGUCUCUGACUUCCCUCCUUUGACCUCACUCAGGCACUGUGACCCACUGGGCCCCCUGAGGCGAUCACGGAUCGCUGCCAUCUCAGACCCUUAAUUUGGUGGUUGUAGAGUCUUUUGGCCAUGGACAGUGACCUGUUUGGAGAACUGGGGACUUGGAUGUGAAUGUCUCAGAGGCCAUAUUCCGUACCAUUAGAGUUCAAAGCAUAGCCACCGAGGCAGGCGACUGUGCCGUUUGCUCCCUCUGGGGCAUUGGGCAUAUUGCUUCUCCAGCUGAGUUCCCCCACAUGUGAGGAAGGGAGAGUAAAAGUUGUCAGAGGGUCAGAGAGGUGGCAUCUGUGCUGUCUGCAGGGCGGGGCAGGCACAUGGGAGAUGCUGGGUGGAAGCUUGUGUUUGUGCAGCCAUUGGGGUUAGAACCAUGGGAAGAGGGAGUGGAAGGAGGGAAGGAGAAGGGGGAAUAGAAGGAGAGGAAUCAGGGUAAGAGGAGGUGAAGAAGAAAAAGGUGAAUGAAGAGGAGGAGGAGGAAUAAAAGGAAGAGGAGGAAGGAUUGUCCACAGAAACAGGAAGCCACUUCCAAUGGGUAAAGUUCUGGGGACCUCCGAGGGGCCGGGCUUUACUGGCCAUGGCCCAAGACAGGGUCACCCUUUCAGCAGCAGGACCAGGUGUUGAGGAGUCACCAGGCCACUUCCCUAACAUCCAGCCAGGCUGCUUUGCCUGGCUCCCGAGUGGUAAACUGGCAGCCCAGAGGAGAAGCCCAGUCCAUGCCCAGGGCCUGCAGGAGGGUCAUCUCCUAGGACCUUGGGUGGCUCCUGGUCCAACUGCCACUGUGGGGGGACACAGAGGCCACAGAUGCCUGGGCUGUGGGUGGUGGUGGUGAUGUGUCCAGAGUCUCCCUGCCACCCACCCAUGUGGCAUCUUCAUUUGGCUCCAUGGUGCUGAGCAGGGGCAGACCACUUGGACCAGAAGGCAGGACAGCUUCCAUCUGUUCCCGUCCUUGCUGAGUCCAAAGAAGAUCUCACCCACAGACAGAGACCAACCCCGGGAUCCAGGAGCAAGGGACAGAAGGGUAGGGAGCUGGCAGGAGGUGGCCAUGGCCCUGUGGCCAGCCAGGGCUCACUGGAUGGGUCCAGUCUAUAGUAAAGAGGGCUUCCGUCACUGUAUGCUGCCUGUGCGCUCACUGGACAGUCACUUUUGGGUUGAGAUGACAGGAUCGGAACCCCGGCUCCACCAUCCCAAGCCUGCAUUAGCACAGAGCAUAGCAGAUUCAUCUUCCAGCAAGGACAAGAACACUGGCCCCUGCAGGCUCUGUGGCCUUGAGCUCAUAUGCCUUCUUCUAUCCGUGCGUGGCUCCCCGAGGGGCCCCAGGACAUGCAAGUAGGGCCAAGCUCCAGGCGUCCCCAAGGCCAGCUCUCCUUUCUCCAUGGCAGAUGGGAAGACGAGGGCGGGGUGGGAGCACAACUCCUCCAGCCAAGUCCCUGCUGGAGAGUGGGACUGAGGGACACUCCUGGCCUGGGGUGCGUGUGUGUACGUGUAUGUGUGUGUGCUGAGUCUGCCGGUGGGGAUGGAUAUGUACAAACGUGUAUUUGUGUGGCACCUGUGUGCACACGCAUGUACGUGUGUGUGUGUGUGUGUGUGAGAGUGUGCAGCUCAUCUUGGACACACACAUGGGUCUGGGGCCCGAGGCGGCUGGCAGCUUCGACCUCUGCUGCCAGGUCCCCGAUUCUCCAAGCGAAUGCCCCUCGCCUGUCUUGGUUAAGGCCGUUCCAAAGCUGGCUGCGGUGUCUCAUGGGGCUCCGUCCUCCAGUCACCCACAGAAUUGUC